CAGCUUGCGUCCGGUGCUCGGGAGGCGGCUUUGGGAGAGGUUGGGAAAGCUCUAGUCUUUGGCCCCGGAGACCCAAGAGGCGUCUCAAGGAGACCGCGGAGUGGAAGCCGGACGCUUGCGGGACCUGAUCGAAGGCCUUGGCGGCGGCGUGACCAGGAGGUGCCUCCACGUGACCCGAGUGUGUCCUCUGGCGACCUGUCCGCAGCCCGCUUUCCCCCCGUGAGACCUGAGGCCGAGAGGGCGCGGCGGGCGCGGUAACCGCCCGCGGGGAGCCGCCGGCUGGCGGGCCGCAGGGGCGCUGGUUCCCUGGAGGAAAUGGGUUAUUCUCAAGGUUCCGCUUCUGUUGCCUCUUACCUCUUGGUUUCCUGGAAGAGGUGGUGAAAAAGCCAAGGUGCUGGUUGACUAUCUACACCUGUCUCCUCUUGUUAUCUAUUUCAUUUGAGGAGUUAACGCUUAUUUUACUUUAAAAAAAACUUUUUUUGUGUU